GCAUAAAAGCGCUUGAGUAACCUAAAAAUAGGAAAGAAAUCGUUAAGG
rnacentral:rRNA from 1 species